rnacentral:rRNA from 1 species
GACGAACCGUGCGAACGUUGUUCGGAAUCACUGGGCGUAAAGCGCACGUAGGCGGCUUUCUAAGUCAGAGGUGAAAUCCUGGAGCUCAACUCCAGAACUGCCUUUGAUACUGGAAAGCUUGAGUUCGGGAGAGGUGAGUGGAACUGCGAGUGUAGAGGUGAAAUUCGUAGAUAUUCGCAAGAACACCAGUGGCGAAGGCGGCUCACUGGCCCGAUACUGACGCUGAGGUGCGAAAGCGUGGGGAGCAAACAGG